rnacentral:sRNA from 1 species
AGAGCUCAAGAAGAUGAGGAGGAAAUGGAAGAGGAAAGAAGACUUUGCUAUGUUGGUAUAACAAGAGCUAAAAAGCACCUUUAUUUAACAUGUGCAAG